CAGAAGAAUAAGAAUAAGAAGAAAACUGACAGACUAAUAAGGAGAAGAAUGAGGAGAAGGAAAACGAACACGAGUGGAAGACACAGUGUACGAGAAGAGUAGGAAAAGACUCCAGUAUAACAGCUUCCACUCUUCUGGGAAGACUUUCCGCAAGAUUUCAGAAUGUGUCUGUUUUCGAUGGGGCUGAGGUCAGCGCUCUAUGCGUGCCAGUCAAGUUCUUCCACACCAAACUCAUCUGACCAUGCUUUUACGAAACUUGUUUGUGCACUGCGGCACAGUCUUGCUGGAACAGAAAGGGACCAUCCCAAAACUGUUCCAACAAAUUUGGUUGCAGAGCAUUGCCCAAAAUGGCUAUGAUUCCCUUCAUUGGAACUAAGAGGCUCAGAUCAAGACUUUAUGGAACGGACAACGGUCCCAGGCGGAUGCACGUCUGUAAGGCAAACCAUCGGUGACAUCCUAAGCACGGCUAACGUGGUUACGGCUGCAGCGACACAGACGAAGAGCCUUCUCAGGAUACUCGGCGAGGCAUGGCAGCACACCGCCACAGACGGGCCCAAAUGAGAUAGCACUGAGGCCAAAUCUAAUUAGGGGACGAAGACACAGCACAAGAGGCACAGAGACGGCAGAGGAAGAAAUGGAAGCGAAAGAAAAGUGGGGGUGGUUUAGAAGAGGUAAACAGAGACGGCAGAGGCCGAGGGAAGAACAGUGGGAAAGAGAAGAAGGGAGUUACUGAGUGGGUGACAGAAAUAUAAACUGCCAGCGAAAGUGUGAGGCAGAGCAGAAAAGAGAGAAUGAGGCAGUGCAGGAGAAAGGUUUGCAUGCAUAUGUGUGGGAAAGCAAGCUGAACUGUUUGUCUACCCCCCUCCCUGUUGGUAAAUGGGAAACACAGCCAGUGCCCGUGCACCCUCCUCCUCGGCCGUUCAGAGCCACUUGCACAGCCUUUUCUCAGCCAGCGCUACACAAUAGCUAGCUGAUGAACCUGGGGCUAACAUGCCCUUUGAGCUGAGUAAAGGCAGAACGCAUGGAGAGUCCUUAAUGAUAUCAGCCCCGCGCAGCAAGCACACCAGCACCCACUUGCUAACUCCUUUAUUUCCUCCCUCCCUCAUCCCUCUUGAAACAUCGCCUCCCUUCAACCUGUUCAGGAUUGUUACAGGAAAUGGACAUACCAGUUCAAUUAUUGAGCACAUAAACACCAUAGGAUUUGACACAAAUAGCACUAGUGCAUCAUCUCACUACAAGAGACUGAAAUUAAAUUCAAAUAUUUUAUUUUUAAAACUUAAAAAUGCUGCCUUGAGUGAUCGUAGCACUCCUCAGAGGCAGAUUUGAUGGAAAGAUUAGAUUAAAAAUACCAAAAGAUUUUUUUUUUUUGCUUGACGUCCUUCUCUUCCUUUUUUCAUGUUUAGAUGUUCAGUGAUGUCUGAUGACAAGGUAAAGCUGAUAGAAAGACAUGCCUUUUAACACAUGCUGGUGUUACUGUUGCCACAAAAGGGAAAAUAAAAAAUACAAAUACAAAUCCUGAGGUUUUCAAAUAUAUUAAAGAUGUAAAAUCAGAUAUGGAUGUAUUGUCAGGUUGAGGUAUUUGAGCUGUGCAGCUUGAGUGUAUACUUGAAAAAAAAACUACAAGAAAGGACUGACUGAAUAAUUGAAUUUCUGCAAUUGGGAAAGGUCACAACAAAUGAGUGCAGUGAUUAUGGAACGGCUCUUUUUUUUCUCCUGUUGAGAUGUGGCCUCUGAACCUUGAUCAUUAUAUUCUGCUACUAAUUAAAGUCAGUUUAAUCUUAACAGGGAUGUCAAGUGAGGAAAACAAGUACAUCUGUGCAGCAUAUUCAUUGCCAGAUAGGUUUGGACAACAUUUUUCCCUUACUAAGCGAAAUCAUCAUUUAAAAUCUGAAACAUGUAAAUGUGACAAAUAUGAUAAAAAUAAAUAAAUAAAUAAUUAGGAAGGGGGAAAAUACGCUGCACUGUAUACAGGACAUAGCAGGCUCACUGUAAUAUUUUGGAUUCCACAUAUUCCUCAAUAUAAAUAUUAAUACAUUCUUUAAACCAGGAUCUACUGUAAAAACUCCAUGCAGAGUAUCAACAAUUAAAUUAGUUGUUUUUUUUAUCAGCUACAAAAGUUUGAAGUUUUUGGCCCAAAAUAAGGCUUUAAAGCCUUUCCCCAUUGUUGAAAGUUGCAUUUAUACUGUGCAUGUGCAAAGUUACAAAUCACAGCAGCUUUAAUAUUGGCUCAGUCCUUUUCCAGUGUAUCCUAAGCGGAACAAAUGCCAUGGGGAUCGAAAAGUAGACUUAUUUCAUCUUUUUUACAGUAAUGAAUAGAUAUGCCUGCCAUGACAUAGCUGAAACUGUCAUGAACCUGUACUAUGCACAUGCAGCAGUGCAAAAAUAUGAUUGGCUAAUAUGUUUCCCGGUUUGGUUGUUAACAGGCUCUUUGAAGACAGGAGCGGGACAACCACCAUUUUUACAGUAAUGGAGUUCUCAUAUAGAUUACUACUCUGGAUUCUUUGAGUGCUUUUUCCUUAAUAAAUGACUUUGCUUCAGGUGGAAGACUGCCGCUAUACUGCAAAAGUUACAUUUUUAGAAUCAGAAGCACAUAUGUAACAUACAUAAAAAGGUAUCCUUUCAUAUGAACCUCUGUUUUUGAGUUGAGAUAAAAGAGAAAAGGUUGUUUUAAUUAUUUUCAAAAGCGGAAAUAUGUGUAAUUGGUCAUAGUCUAAGGGUUUAAGCAUAUGUGUUGUACAUACAGUGAAAAUAGACUCUUAGCUGUUUACUCCCUACUUACUAAAAUCAAUCAACCAAAAAAACGACCCAUUAAGGCACAUUUAAGCCAGGAAUGCAACGUCACCGUUAAAAAUGACUGCAUUUCACUCUAUUUGUUAACACUAAGGACACAGCUCAUUAUCAGCGACAGCUGAUGCAUCUCUCUGCUCAUCAUGAAUUUCCUCUUUGACAGUAAAGCACAUUACAGAAGCCUCCACAUUCUCCUGCAGAUAAAACUGGGCUAACAAAGCACUUAUAGCUGAUUAACUCGGAAAGAGAACUAGCUUAGCAUCAAAAACAGUUCCAAAUGAGACUUCAGACUCUGCAUUCAAGAACAUUAGGUAAACACAGACUUGUCUAGUCCCCAGUAAUAUACCAACUUUGUUGUUUCAUCUUUGUUGCUCAAUUAAAAUGUUUAUAUAAUGUUUAAGUUUUAAAAUUGUAGAAAAAACCCUUCAGUUUACAGGCUAACUUUGCUAGCAUCCUAUAGCUAGCAAAUGGUGCACUACCAAAACAAUUUUGUUGGCACUUCAGAGUGCGCAAUUUUAUUGACUAGGUUGGUUUAAAGGGCAUCCCGAUCCAAUCGCAUUGUGUUUCAAACCACACAAUGCCAUGUGUGUCAAACAGUUCUGGAAAAACAUAUGUGCUCUUACACCCCAUAAGCUACUUAUGAUAUGUACCGAAGAGCAAAGAAACUGAUAAAGAAAAAGGAGAAGGAGGCAAAUCCAAACACGAGAACUUUACAUUCAUUAUUCUUAAAUCCAAUUUAAUGUUGACUAGAAUGUCCGUCAAGGCAUCUGCAGAAAGUCAACAGCAUCAGCAUCGACACAGACAAUUUUAGAUGAAUAUUUUCUUCAGUAGGACAUGUAUUUGCCAAAAAUAUUGCUGAUUCCCAUUACCCAAGAUUGCACUGUUUUCAUCAAGUCAAUCAAGCUAUCAAAUCAACCACUAAGAUGUUUAAAGUCUGACAAACGUAAUUUACCAAAGAAGAUCAGCAUGUGGGCUACAUAAGCAUCCUCUCCAAAGCCUUUUGAGUGUUUGAGUGAUUACAUUUUCAUUCCACUCAAGUUUCAUGUUCCAUUUUUGGCACCAUCUGUAUUUUUGCCCUCUUUCGAAAAUGCAUAAUAUGCUGAUGCUAAUAAA